GAGUAUGAGUCUGAGGUGGAGGGAGUCAUGGUAGGACAAGCAUUUAGAAAGUUUCUUCCACUCUUUGACCGAGUAUUGGUUGAAAGGAGUGCUGCUGAAACUGUAACCAAAGGAGGUAUUAUGCUUCCAGAAAAAUCUCAAGCAACAGUAGUUGCUAUUGGAUCGCAUUCUAAAGGAAAGGGUGGAGAGAUUCAACCAGUUAGCGUUAAAGUUGGAGAUAAAGUUCUUCUCCCAGAAUAUGGAGGCACCAAAGUAGUUCUAGAUGACAAGGAUUAUUUCCUAUUUAGAGAUGGUGACAUUCUUGGAAAGUACGUAGACUGAAAUAAGUCACUAUUGAAAUGGCAUCAACGUGAAGCUGCCCAUUCCACUGAAGUUCUGAAAUCUUUCAUCAUGUAAAUAAUUUCCAUAUUUCUCUUUUAUAAUAAACUAAUGAUAACUAA